UGCGAGCCCGGCUCUAGCCCCGGCCAGAACUCUGCGGCGCAUUAGUGCGGUGAGCCAGGCUGAAAUUGAGGGAGGGUGUGCGGGCGGGUGGGUGUGUGGGUGGACUGGUGGUGCCUUGAGGAGCUCCCUCCAGGGCUAUGGAUCCACGUUUCCUUCAGGGAGAAGAGUUGGCCCUUCCCAGAGCUAAUGACAUUUUCCUUCCUUGGCAGAAGCUGUCAGAGAAGAGAGAAGAGGCUGCGUUGUCAAGAGAAGAGAGAAGAGGCUGCGUGUCAAGAGAGAAGAGGCGGCGUGUCAAGAGAAGAGAGAAGAGGCUGCGUGUCAAGAGAGAAGAGGCGGCGUGUCAAGAGAAGAGAGAAGAGGCGUCGUGUGGAACGGCGAGGCGAGGAGCGGCGUGGCGCAGAAGAGGGGGCACGAGAAAGGCACCCUGGGCAAAGGGACCCCCUGUGGGCACAGGGGGAGGUCACGUAAGAGCAUGAUGGCACCUUUGGGGUGCCGUGAGGAAUGUUGUGUGCUGGGCGACCUCCCUGUAAGCAGGGCUCAGGUCUUUGCUACUGUUGGUUUUGGCCUUUGGCCGUGUUGCUCCUUUGGCUGCCCGGAGAGCGUGGCAACCCUGUAAGGAGGGUGAGAGCCAGCGUCUCCGCACCCGAGGGGGAAAUGGAGCUCUCUGGACCCCCAGGCCACCCUGUAAGCAGGGGAGGGCCAUUUCCCUGCCCAACUUCUCUGCCCCAGCAGCUUUCUGCCUGCUGGUGGCCUACCCAGCGUGACCCCCUGUUGUCAGGGUGUGUCGCAGUAUUUUCCCCUUGGCGUGUUGAAGGUCUCCAGCUUCCACGCACAGUCCCAAUCUGUGGAGCCCUUUGUUCCCUGGAGCAGCCCCAGCCUGCUUUAAGCAGGGCAUGGGAGGCUGUUCUUAGCCAGCCCACAGGAACGAGCCCUCCCUCACCCUUUAGAGGGUGCAGGUUGAGGAAAUGCAGUGCCACAGGUUGCAGGCCCACCUUUGGCUGGGCUGACCUCCCCCUGGUUGGGGUCGAGGUUGUGCGCUGGGCUCCUGAAGGACUACGUGAUGAAAAUGAUGAUGAUGAUGAUGAUGAUGAUAAUGAUAAUGACAAUGAUAAUGACAAUGAUAAUGAUAAUGGUAAUGUUGAUGGUGUGGUGCAGCCAGGAGGCCCGCCCGUAACUCGGACGCAGGUCGGAGCCUUGGGCUCCCUGGAGCUUAUUUGGGAAUGUCUGGCCCUAGUCUUUGAGAGGCUCGGGGCUGUUUCCGCCAGUCCCCCAGCCUUUAGCUCUGAAGCUCCGGUACCUGGCUGUGGAGUCUCGUUCCUGUUGGUGCAGGGGGAAGGCCGAGCUCUGUGGCUCCCUGGGUGUGGACCAGCCUGUAAGCAGGUCCUGGGUCUGGGAGCCUUUGUGCUCCCUCAGCUGGCAGCCUGUGUGGGGUGACCGCCCCGCUAGUGGGGUGAGGGUGAAGGUGCCCCUCAGUCGGAGAGAAGGAGCCUCCGAAUGCCUUAAGGACCAGGGCCACCCUGUAAGUCAGGGCCCGGCCAUGAGUCCUGGGCGCUUUACAGUGCAGGCCACGGCUCGGGCCCCCUGUGAGCAGGGGUGCGCAGCCUCUGUGGCCGUUGCUUUGCAUGCCCAGCGGAUUUGCCCAGGGUGCCCGCCUGCGAGCCCNNNNNNNNNNNNNNNNNNNNUCUCUCUCUCUCUCUUCUCUUCUCUUCUCUUCUCUUUUCUUCUCCACAUAUAUCUUUAACAAACUAAAGACAGUUCAGACUUGAUGG
rnacentral:lncRNA from 14 species